CCUACGGGUGGCAGCAGUGAGGAAUAUUGGUCAAUGGACGAGAGUCUGAACCAGCCAAGUAGCGUGAAGGAUGACUGCCCUAUGGGUUGUAAACUUCUUUUAUAUGGGAAUAAAAUGUUCCACGUGUGGGAUUUUGUAUGUACCAUAUGAAUAAGGAUCGGCUAACUCCGUGCCAGCAGCCGCGGUAAUACGGAGGAUCCGAGCGUUAUCCGGUUUUAUUGGGUUUAAAGGGAGCGUAGGUGGAUUGUUAAGUCAGUUGUGAAAGUUUGCGGCUCAACCGUAAAAUUGCAGUUGAAACUGGCAGUCUUGAGUACAGUAGAGGUGUGCGGAAUUCGUGGUGUAGCGGUGAAAUGCUUAGAUAUCACGAAGAACUCCGAUUGCGAAGGCAGUUCACUGGACUGCAACUGACACUGAGGCUCGAAAGUGUGGGUAUCAAACAGGAUUAGAUACCCGAGUAGUC
rnacentral:rRNA from 1 species